AAUCAACGCUGGCGGCGUGCCUCAGACAUGCAAGUCGAACGCGAAAGUUCCCUUCGGGGGAUAAGUAGAGUGGCGUCCGGGUGAGUAACACGUAGGUAAUCUACCUUUGGGUGGGGAAUAACAACCGGAAACGGUUGCUAAUACCGCAUAAUGCAGCGGCACCACAUGGUGACAGUUGUUAAAGCGGGGGAUCGCAAGACCUCGCGCCUAAAGAGGAGCCUGCGGCGGAUUAGCUAGNGGUAGGGUAACGGCCUACCAAGGCAACGAAUCCGUACGCCGGCCUGA
rnacentral:rRNA from 1 species